ensembl:lncRNA
AAUCGCGAAAGCGACCAGAAGCCGGCGCCUGGAGGGAGGAGCGAGGCAGUAUCCGCCCCGGAAGUCUCGGGCCAAUGAGCACAGGCGUCGAGCGAGCCAAUGAGCGCAGGGGAUGGGGAGGCGACGAGCCAGUGAGCCCGGGGAGGGGUGACGAGCCAAUGAGCGCGGGGAUGGGGCGGCGAGCCAAUGAGCGCGGGCCUGCUCCGGAGGCGGUGCUCGGAAUGCGACCUGGAGAGCUACGCGGCGGCCGCAGCCAUGGGCGCAUCGCCUUCGCGGUCGCCGGGCUGGAUCAAGGAACGGCCGGGAGCGGCUGAGGAGACCGUCGCCGGGACUGGCCCUUGACGCUGAGUCGCGGUGGGGAGGGUCCCCGCAGGCGCCUCGAGGGCCAGCGAGCGGGAGCCGGGAGUAUCAGAGGAGCCCCGGGCAGCCGCUGGCCACUUCGGGAAGGGGGUGGGGCCCAGCCUGACCGCUGGAAGGGUCGACAGUGCGGUGUGGCCUCCUCUGCGGGUGGGGUGACCUGCCUGGCACCUCUCAGGGCCGGGCGCGUCCGCAGGGACCGACGCACAUCUCUUGAGGGCACGCCGCCGGGGCUCAGGGCCGCCUGGGCCAGCCCGGGAGCCCCUGGAUGGCUGAGCUGCCCCGCGCCGGCCGCCCGGGCGCCGCAGCGGCUGAGCUCGCCGGAUCGCCGGGCCGCCGCCGCCGCCCGCCGCCCUCGCCGCCCGCUGCAUGCCCGGCGCCCGGGUCGCGGCCCACCUGGACGCUCUGGGCCCCUGGUCCUCCGUGCCGCCGCCGCCCUGCCCUCUAUGUUCUACGUGGGCCUGUUCUUCGUCAACGUGCUGAUCCUGUACUACGCCUUCCUCAUGCAGAUUCCCGCCGCCCCGCCCCGCCGAGGGGUGGAUCUUCCAGCAGCCAGAAUCUGCAGAGUCGAACCGGGCGCCGAUUGAUCUUCCCACCGUGGAAAACUGCCACUUUCGGAAAGGCCAAAAUUUUCACUGGCCUGCUCCCCUCGAAAGCUCCGUGCCAACAGAGAGGUUCCUGUCCGGGCCCAGGAUGGUGGGACAGAGAGAUUGAGAAUGGACGCCAAGGUCCGGAAGGCACGUGCCCCUGCCCAGAGGGUGAGGCAGGGGUGCCCGGAGACCUCGCCUGCCUGCGGCGUCGUGCACACAGCCUCACCCUGGCUUCCGACCUUCCGCCAUCUCAGUGGAUGUUUACAUGAACCCAGCCAGAGUCAGCCUCCUUGCUUUCCACCCCCGGCUGCAUCUGCUUACCCCACUUAACCUUCGGAGAGAGAGGACACGUCAUACACAAAAGCGACUCNNNNNNNNNNNNNNNNNNNNNNNNNNNNNNNNNNNNNNNNNNNNNNNNNNNNNNNNNNNNNNNNNNNNNNNNNNNNNNNNNNNNNNNNNNNNNNNNNNNNGUCCACAAAUCCCACAUGUGCAGGGACACCGUGAGGGGUGAUGCCCCGGUACAAGGCUGGAUGCCCUUAGCCCCCAGGGCAUGUGGGGCCUUCCUUCCUUAGAGGGCUUCCCCUAAGGCGGAAGGCACCACCUUUCUGUGAGGACAUCCAGCUAGACAGCUGGAUCAGAAUCCCUCUGACCCUCUUGACCCUCAACCCCUACUCGCUGGGAAGAGGGGGAGAGUCUGGGAGCCAGGCAACCAGACUGGGGCACAGGCAGCUCCCACAGCCGCCAGGAAAUAGCCAAGCUGUCCCAAAUCAGGGCUUCUGACUGAGCAAGCCAUGCUCCAGUGAACAACACCAGCCAACCUGGCAGUUCUCUAUGCAGACAGCAAAGCUGCCAGGUCCCUUCCAGGCUCGCCACAGCCAGGGCCCGACGCCAGCUCAACUAAGCAGCGGCUCCCAGGAUAGAGUGGCGGGGCAGAGACAGAGGAAAAUGCAAGGUAAAGCUCACAGUGCUUCACCCUUGUUGACUGCCGAGUCGUGAAUUUUCCAAUGAAGGGUAGGAAGCCGUAGGGAAAAUCCUUUCCCCAAAGACAGGACUGGAGCCAAAGUGGACUCUGCUGUGUGUGUUGGGCUGGGUGGGUGGGUGGGGGUGGAAGGCUGGAGGGUCUGGGGAGGGGAGGAGAGCAAGGGUCCCGGUCAACUGGCUGUAGAAUAUGGCAGAAGUGAUGCUGUGUGACAGCCAAGGCUGGCUUAUAAAAAGGACACGAUUUCUCCCCGUGGUCUCGGUCUCCCCCUCCUAACUUCUCUUCCUCACCCUUCAACCCAGCCACCAGGCCGUGAGGAAGCCCCCACAUGGAGAGCCCCCGCCCCACUUAGAGGCAAUGAGGCCCCCAGUCAGCAGUCAGCAUCAGGUGCCAGGCAUACGAGAGACAGAGCCUUCAGACGACCCCAGCUGACCCGGAGCAGGGCAGAGAGAUGAGCAGUCCCCGCCAAGCCCUGCCCAAAAGACAGAUGUUUAAGAGCAGAAUAAACAUCGGUGCUGUUUUUAGCCACUGCGUUUUGGGGGUGGCUUGUGAUGCGUUAGUUAGCCAGAAGAGUGUGCACCCCAAACUUAGUAAUCACAAUGUAAACACAGGACCCGCCCGUGGGAUUAAACGACAGAUUUAUAUGUAGUGGAAAAAACAAACAGGAAAUGGAGGCAAAAAGGCGAAUGUGGUCCAGGCCACGGCCCCGCCCCCCCUCCGUUAGUGUAUCAUCAGCUCUUUCCCCGAGAAGGUCCAGUGCGUAUGGCCAGGCCUAGCUUUGGCCUCGGUGAAAAGAGUCAGUGCAAACCAGUGAGUCCCAGAGACAGAAGGCAGCUGCUGAGAAUUUCCAGUGGUCAUGCU